CAAUUGGAUUGCGAUGGUUGCAUUGCAUCGACAGGAGAGAUACCAACAUCGGGUUGGUCCUCAAGAAGCAAAUAGAAAAAGAGAGCGGGAGGGGAGAUUAAAGCCAUCCUGGGCUGGCCGGCACAUCUCCCCUCCGAUCCCUUGCUUAUUCUUGGCCCACUGCGCAGCCCAGCUCGCAUCUUGCUUCCAAGCUCAUUGAACGGCCCAGCAUAUCGCCAUUGCUCACAGCGGUCACAGGUCCUUGUGG
rnacentral:lncRNA from 1 species